rnacentral:rRNA from 1 species
GAUGAACGCUGGCGGCGUGCCUAAUACAUGCAAGUCGAACGGAAAAUUCUUGGUACUUGUAUCGGGAGUUUUUAGUGGCGAACGGGUGAGUAACGCGUUGGUGACCUACCCCAAAGUGGGGGAUAACAGAUCGAAAGGUCUGCUAAUACCUCAUGUAGUCAUCGUUUUUAGAAAGCGAUGAUCAAAGGAGCAAUCCGCUUUGGGAGGGGCCUGCGUCCCAUCAGCUAGUUGGUAGGGUAAUGGCCUACCAAGGCGUCGACGGGUAAGGGACCUGAGAGGGUGGCCCCUCACAAUGGAACUGAAACACGGUCCAUACACCUACGGGUGGCAGCAGUAGGGAAUAUUGCACAAUGGACGAAAGUCUGAUGCAGCAACGCCGCGUGUACGAUGAAGGCCUUCGGGUCGUAAAGUACUUUUCAGGGAGAUGAGAAA